rnacentral:tRNA from 1 species
GCCGUUUAUUGUGGAUUUUUGGCUUACUCGCACUCGUAACGCGAAGGUCGUAGGUUCGAUUCCUAUUGCCGGCACCA